rnacentral:rRNA from 1 species
GAAUAUUGGACAAUGGGCGCAAGCCUGAUCCAGCCAUGCCGCGUGAGUGAUGAAGGCCCUAGGGUUGUAAAGCUCUUUCACCGGUGAAGAUAAUGACGGUACCCACAGAAGAAGCCCCGGCUAACUCCGUGCCAGCAGCCGCGGUAAUACGGAGGGGGCUAGCGUUGUUCGGAAUUACUGGGCGUAAAGCGCACGUAGGCGGACCGGAAAGUCAGAGGUGAAAUCCCAGGGCUCAACCUUGGAACUGCCUUUGAAACUCCUGGUCUUGAGGUCGAGAGAGGUGAGUGGAAUUCCGAGUGUAGAGGUGAAAUUCGUAGAUAUUCGGAGGAACACCAGUGGCGAAGGCGGCUCACUGGCUCGAUACUGACGCUGAGGUGCGAAAGCGUGGGGAGCAAACAGG